UCACUAAGUCGAAGCUUCAGUCAAAAAUCAGAACCCAAAUCCAACUUAAGGUCAACUGAACACACUGUUGUCUGAACUAGAGUCACCAACAGAACCGAGUCACCAACGGUACCUGUAAUGAAUAACCCUUCCCACUCACGGGUGUAGUCUAGGCCAGGGUAAAGCUGAGAGAAACGCAGCAUAAAUAACCUUUCGCAGAAAUACUGUCAUAUACACACCCGAAGUAUGUAACGACAGUAUCCCACCAGGGUCUGAACUGCUCGUGAUAUCAAUGU
rnacentral:lncRNA from 1 species